UUUUUAAAGCAAUUGCUUUUAUGCUAUCGCGUAUGGCCAUCUUUGUGACCCAGAUCAGAGACUCCGCCCAUAUCAAGCCAUAGUAUUUUGUUAAACAGACUCCUGGUCUGUCAUUCUUUAAGUACCGGUCUUUGUAAGAAUCAUGCAGGUUCCUGUUGAUGGGCGAUUCAUGACCCCUCUUCAAAUGUCUUUAUAUUUUGUUUAUGAGGAGGGUAUGGUAUGAAAAUAAGUUUCAUGUAUUAUUUUUUUUUCUUUUGAACCUUGGUUGCCAUGGAAACCAUCCUUACAAAAUCUUGCCUAAAUACGUCCAUAAGUUGCCUUUGAAAAUUGAAAUAUAAGGGGUUUUAAAGAACCAUAGAAAUAAAGUUAAUCAAUACAAACAAUAUGUAUAUUUACAGUAUUGACAAACAAAACCCCAAACUAUACAAAAAC
rnacentral:lncRNA from 1 species